rnacentral:rRNA from 1 species
CCUACGGGAGGCAGCAGUGGGGAAUAUUGGACAAUGGGCGAAAGCCUGAUCCAGCAAUGCCGCGUGAGUGAUGAAGGCCUUAGGGUCGUAAAGCUCUUUUACCAGGGAUGAUAAUGACAGUACCUGGAGAAUAAGCUCCGGCUAACUCCGUGCCAGCAGCCGCGGUAAUACGGAGGGAGCUAGCGUUGUUCGGAAUUACUGGGCGUAAAGCGUACGUAGGCGGUUAUUCAAGUCAGAGGUGAAAGCCCGGGGCUCAACCCCGGAACGGCCUUUGAAACUAGAUAGCUAGAGUCUUGGAGAGGUCAGUGGAAUUCCGAGUGUAGAGGUGAAAUUCGUAGAUAUUCGGAAGAACACCAGUGGCGAAGGCGACUGACUGGACAAGUACUGACGCUGAGGUACGAAAGCGUGGGGAGCAAACAGGAUUAGAUACCCUGGUAGUCCACGCCGUAAACGAUGAUAACUANUGUCGGUACGUGUAUCUGGUGGCGCGAGCUACGACAUUAAGUUAUUCCGUCCGUCGGGUAGGUACGGUCGGUCGAGAGUAAACUACAAUAGAGUAGACGGUCGUGAGAGUUGUCCGACGGACGACGACGAGGGAGGAGG